UACGAAGGGGGCUAGCGUUGCUCGGAAUUACUGGGCGUAAAGCGCACGUAGGCGGAUCUUUAAGUCAGGGGUGAAAUCCUGGAGCUCAACUCCAGAACUGCCUUUGAUACUGAGGGUCUUGAGUUCGGGAGAGGUGAGUGGAACUGCGAGUGUAGAGGUGAAAUUCGUAGAUAUUCGCAAGAACACCAGUGGCGAAGGCGGCUCACUGGCCCGGAUACUGACGCUGAGGUGCGAAAGCGUGGGGAGCAACAGG
rnacentral:rRNA from 1 species